AACGAACGCUGGCGGCAGGCUUAACACAUGCAAGUCGAGCGCCCCGCAAGGGGAGCGGCAGACGGGUGAGUAACGCGUGGGAAUCUACCUUUUGCUACGGAAUAACUCAGGGAAACUUGUGCUAAUACCGUAUGUGCCCUUCGGGGGAAAGAUUUAUCGGCAAAGGAUGAGCCCGCGUUGGAUUAGCUAGUUGGUAGGGUAAUGGCCUACCAAGGCGACGAUCCAUAGCUGGUCUGAGAGGAUGAUCAGCCACACUGGGACUGAGACACGGCCCAGACUCCUACGGGAGGCAGCAGUGGGGAAUAUUGGACAAUGGGCGCAAGCCUGAUCCAGCCAUGCCGCGUGAGUGAUGAAGGCCCUAGGGUUGUAAAGCUCUUUCACCGGUGAAGAUAAUGACGGUAACCGGAGAAGAAGCCCCGGCUAACUUCGUGCCAGCAGCCGCCGCAG
rnacentral:rRNA from 1 species